AUGUGAGUUUUGAGUGAGCUCCGGCAGUUGGUGAUGGACAGAGAGGCCCGGUGUGCUGCAAUUCAUGGGGUUGCAAAGAGUAGGACACGAAUGAGCGACUGAACUGAACUGACUGUAUAUGCAGGAACUAUUCAUGUUCUUUACUCUUUUUUUUUUUUUUUUUGCCUAUUUUGAAUGAUUUCUUUCUUUUAAAACACAAUUUAUGUAAACAAACAAACCACUCGAGUGUGUCUCCCAUCUCCUGCCACUUGCCUCUGGUAACCACUGAUCUAUUCUUUCUGUUUCUCCACAUGUAAGAGAGAUUUAUGAUAUUUGUCUUUCUCUGUCUUACUUUUUCACUCAGCACAAUGCUCUUAAAUUCCACCCAUAUUGUUGCGAGUGUCUGAGGAGUAUUCCAUCGCAUACAUAUACUACAGCUUCUUUACCCAUUCAUCUGUUUGCUGAUGGACACUUAGGUUUUUCCAAGUUUAGACUGUUGUAAAUAAAGCAGCAAUGAACACGGGAGUACAGAUACCUUUUCAAGUUAGUGUUUUAAUUUGUUUUUUUUUUCAGAUCAAUACCCACAAGUAGAAUUGCUGGAUCACAUGGUAGUUGCAUUUUCAAUUUUCAAGGACACUUCCUACAAUUUUGACAGUGACUGUGCCAAUAUACAUUUCCACCAAGAGUGCACAAGGGUUCUAUUUUCUCCUUAUUCUCACCCACACUUGUUAGUUCAAGUCUUGUUGAUAACAGCCAUUCUGACAGCGGUGAGAUGACAUCUCAUUAUUUUGAUAUCCAUUUUCCUAAAUUUCAGAUAAACAUCAUGUUUUUUUAGUGUAAGUAUAUCCGAAUGUUACAUAGUUCUAUGUAAGACAUUUUUCUCCACUAAAUCUAGCAACCCUAGGUGAAGGGCUUUUACUUGAUGAUGAAAAAAUUUCUCUUAUUUAAUUGAUUUGUAAGCACACACACAUACACAUUUAACUUUGAAGAGAGUUAAAUGUAGAUCAACACACCUGGUAUCAAUUUCUUGUAAUAAAAGAGGGGUGAAUGCUUAUUGGAUUUGCGGGUGGUUGUCUCAAGUUUACCUACAGAUGUAAACAGAAGGUAGUGCAGGGAAAUGAUAGAAAGGUGGUUCCUUGAGAGAAAGACUAUGGCAGCAUCAUGAACACUGAAAUACUGAGCCGCAGGGAACUUAGCCUGAUUCAAGUCUGCUCACUCCACUAGGCCACAGGCAAGCUUGUCCACGUUUCUCUGCCUGCCCCUCCAUCUGAUCCCUCUGCUUGUAGUUCUGAGCUCUCAGAGCUCAGGCUUCUCUUCUCCUGUGGGGGAGGCGGCUGCUCCCAGCCUGCCCUCCAGAAAGGGGUUGGUGCAAAGAGGCAGGGCUCCUCCCCAGGCCUCACCCAGCACCCACCCCUUCUGGGCUCAGCCUGGUGGGCUUUAAGAGAGAUCCUGGCUGACUCCUCUGCCUGUCACAUCUUCUGGGAAACUCGGUCUAGCUCACUGUCCCAGGCAUGCUGUGGGUCCCAGCACUGCUUCUGGUUUUCCUGGCUCCUGUCACACAGGUAUCUUCCAACAUGGAAGAGGACAAGUUGUCAGUCAUGAGGGCGACUGGGUCAUCUGUUGUAAUCGAUUGUGACCUUACAGGAAGCUAUAUCCACUGGUACAAAUUCCAGGAGGGAGCUGUACCCCAACGCCUUCUCUACUACGAUGUCUCCAACUCAAAGGUUGUGUUGGGCUCAGGAAUCAGUGAAGGGAAAUACCAUGUUUACAAAGGCACAGGGAAGAGCUACACGUUUGUAAUCUCCAACUUGCAAGAAAGUGAUUCUGGCACCUACUACUGUGCUGUCUGGGAGAAGCACAUUGGUUUAGACUUCCUUUACACUGCACUGGAAAUUUUGCUUGUGGCUGUCAAAACAGCCCUGAUACACAGGAUAGACCAGCCCCUGUCUCACUUCCUGCCCCCAGUUCUUUUUACUCUGAAUGAAGAGAAAUCCUGAGCUCAACGCCCAGCCCCAGUCACUGCCACCUCCCACCUCCCCUCAACAGCCAUUGUUUGUUAUGGUCAAAGAUUUUUCCUAAAAGCAGGUCUCCAUCUU